AUCCCAGUAACUUCCACGAGAGGCUAUUUCCUAAGGCCAUAUAUAGAGAAAAUUAAAAGUUUCCACGAGUGAUUUUUUUCCCAUUUGAGGUGGAGUCGGGUAAAACUAUCGCCAGCAUCACAAAACACUCCAUGGAAAUCCCAGCAACUUCCACGAGCGGCUAUUUCCUUAGGCCAUAUAUAGAGAAAAUUAAAAGUUUCCAUGAGAUUUUUUUUCCAUUUGAGGUGAAGUCGGGUAAAACUAUCGCCAGCAUCACAAAACACUCCAUGGAAAUCCCAGCAACUUCCACGAGCGGCUAUUUCCUAAGGCUAUAAAUAGAGAAAAUUAAAAGUUUCCAUGAGUGAUUUUUUUUCCAUUUGAGGAGAAGUCGGGUAAAACUAUCGCUAGCAUCACAAAACACUACAUGAAAAUUCCAGCAACUUCCACGAGCGGCUAUUUCCUAAGGCCAUAUAUAGAGAAAAUUAAAUGUUUCCAUGAGUGAUUUUUUUUCCAUUUGAGGUGAAGUCGGGUAAAACUAUCGCUAGCAUCACAAAACACUCCAUGGAAAUCCCAGCAACUUCCACGAGCGGCUAUUUCCUAAGGCCAUAUAUAGAGAAAAUUAAAAGUUUCCAUUAGUGAUUUUUUUUCCAUUUGAGGUGAAGAAGUUGGGUAAAACUAUCGCCAGCAUCACAAAACACUCCAUGGAAAUCCCAGCAACUUCCACGAGAGGCUAUUUCCUAAGGCCAUAUAUAGAGAAAAUUAAAAGUUUCCAUUAGUGAUUUUUUUUCCAUUUGAGGUGGAGAAGUCUUGUAAAACUAUCGCCAGCAUCACAAAACACUCCAUGAUAAUCCCAGCAACUUCCGCGAGAGGCUAUUUCCUAAUGCCACAGAGAAGAUCAGCGCAUUUUUGUUGAAUUCUUGUUUUGUGCCCAUGAGCUGUCUUCCUUACUGUGUACGUAGCUAUAAAAAAAAAAAAUCAUGGGCGGUGUUUUUCCUAUUCAUGGCACAGAAGUCAUGCAACACUAUCCCCAGCAUCACAAAACGUCCAUGAAGAUCCCAGCAACUUCCACGAGAGGCUUUUCAAACAGUGCUUCAAACAGGGACUGAGGCAUUAAGACGUUGAAGAAUGCUAGCUAUUGACUCCAAACUCCGUCCUUUCACCCAGCCAACCAAUCAGCUCCCUCGGCUACGGAAGAGGGGCGUCGAGGCUCCUUUCAAACAGGCGAACUGAGACCCUGAGACAUUUAACCCGAUAGCAGUGACGGGCCAAAUUUGUAGCUUUACCAUGUAGCAGUGACAGGCCAAAUUUGUGGCUUUACCGUGUAGCAGUGACGGGCCAAAUUUGUGGCUUUACCGUGUAGCAGUGACAGGCCAAAUUUGUGGCUUUACCGUGUAGCAGUGACGGGCCAAAUUUGUGGCUUUACCGUGUAGCAGUGAUGGGCCAAAUUUGUGGCUUUACCAUGUAGCAGUGACAGGCCAAGUUUGUGACUUUACCGUGUAGCAGUGACUGGCCAAAUUUGUGGCUUUACCGUGUAGCAGUGACGGGCCAAAUUUGUGACUUUACCGUGUAGCAGCAACAGGCCAAAUUUGUGGCUUUACCGUGUAGCAGUGACGGGCCAAAUUUGUGCCAUAAUAUAAACCCCCCAAAAUAGAUGAUACAUAAUCUGAUCACAAAUGUUUUUAUAUAUAUAUGAAAUGGUUUGUGUGAGGGGCGAUUUUUUCUCAUUUUUCUCGCUUGGGCGGACCAUUAAGAAACAUGAUCCCCGCUGCUACCGGUUAAGAAUGCUAGCUAUCGACUCCUAUCUUCGUCCUUUCACCCAACCAACCAAUCAGUUCCCUCGGCUAUGGAAGAGGGGCGGCGGGGCUUCUUUCAAAUAGGCAACUCCAAACUCCAUCCUUUCACUCAACCAAUUAGUUCCCUUGGCUAUGGAUGAGGGGCGGCGGGGCUUCUGGGUUAGCUUAGAGUACGGUGACUAUGGUUGUAAAGCUUCCGACUGCCCGCCACCAUGCUGCUGUUCUCCAUGCAAAGGCAGGCGCAGAGUAUCCCUUAUGGAGUUUGCACGCUAUCCCUUUGUACACUGUUCUCGUGUCUUGUUGAAAUGUUGGAAAGCCGUCACACACACACACAGAAAAAAGAAAAAUGUCAAAGCUAAGUGAGUAGUGUGUUGUGUUGCGUGAGUGAGAGUGUUUGCGUAUAUGUGUGUGUGUGUGUGUGUGUGUGUGUGUGUGUGUGUGUGUGUGUGUGUGUGUGAGUGAGUGAGUGAGUGAGUGAGUGAGUGAGUGAGUGUGUGUGUGUGUGUUUUAAGAGUGUAUAUGUGUGUGUUUUAAGUGUGUGUGUGUUUUAAGUGUGUGUGUGUUUUAAGAGUGUGUGUGUGUGUGUGUGCUUUAAGAGUGUGUAUGUGUGUGUGUGUGUGUGUGUGUGUGUGUGUGUGUGUGUGUGUGUGUGUGUUUAAAAAAUAUAGCUAAAUCAAACCACUUCAUAAACAACAAAAACAUGACAAAACCUAUCUUCUUAUCUACCUGUAUCUAUAAAAAAAAAAAUGACACCUAAUUCUAUCCACUAAUACCAUAAGCUUACUAACACUAUAUGGCGGCCUACAAGUGCCUGCCUACCUUACGCAACACAAGCAAAGUUCACUCAACAUUACAAGCACAAGCAACCUUAGAAAUACUUGACCACAUACAAACUCCGUCCCCGCACCAACACAGUGUCUGAGGGGCCAGAAAUGGUUACACACGCAAGCUUCUACGAGGGAUACAUGGCACAUCUACAAGUGGUGUGACUGCACGAUACUAAUAUAAUAAAAAUAAUAAUAAUGAUGACUGAAAAGAGGAAAUAAAACACUGAUGGAGAGGCAGUCCCCCCCCCCUUAGUGAACAGACAUGGAUGUGAAAAAUAGAAGUGAUAGUGGAGAUGAUAAUAAUAAUACAGUAAAGCCUCGAUAUAACAGACUAAUUGGUGGGGAGCUUAAUGCCAAAAGUCCAUUAUAAGCGAUACACACAAAAAAAGUAAAAUAAUACCGACGAACCUAAUAAACGUAGGUAUAUAUAUAUUUUUUUUAUUGUGCAUGUUGUCUGCAUGUUGUCUAUAUAUCCGCACAGCACACUUGGUGAUGGACUGCGGGGCACUGAGCCGCCAGGUUGGCAGUGUGGCCAUAUUGUUACAGUUAUAGGUAAAAUUGCGUCAAUCUCACGCCGGUAGACGAAACUUAUUUUUUUUGAUAGUUUUUGGGGUGUUAAGAAAUAAUGUGAAAACUGUUUCUGUCACAAAUCAUUUGACUUUUCAUUGGCUGUUGUACACCUGCAUUGCAAAAUAACUCUCAGAGGGACAUGUUUAACUUGCUUACAGUUUCUACAUUUCACUCACCACUCAGAGAUAACAAGUGGACAAACUAGCACAAAACCAGGCAAAUUAAUGUUUUCCUGCCGUGUAUCCCUCCAGUGCGCAUUCGUAGUGGACAGCAGAGCGAUGUAUUUCUGCGAGGAGGUAUUUCUAUUAUUAUUAUUUUUUUUUUAUUUUUUUAUAGUAACACCGGGCGACAAAUUGGACCACACAUGCCACCGCCAUGCAUCCGUCCCGCCCUGCAUAUUUCCGUGCCCCACUCCGAGUGCAGAAUAAACUGAAACUAACCAAACAUAACUUAACAUAGCCUACCUAACCUAGAUGAUACAUAAUCAUCAUAAGGGGGCUUAGUCCCCUCGACCCCUAUAAGCUGUGUCAGUACCAACACUAACAAACUCUUGGCCAUUUUCCAUUCAUUCAUGUCCUGGAUUAAUGCAUAGGCUUUCUUGUGGUAUAAAUACAUUCUUCAUUUAACCCGGUAGCAGCGACGGGCCAAAUUUGUGGCUUUACCGUGUAGCAGCGAUGGGCCAAAUUUGUGGCUUUACCGUGUAGCAGCGAUGGGCCAAAUUUGUGGCUUUACCGUGUAGCAGUGAUGGGCCAAAUUUGUGGCUUUACCGUGUAGCAGUGAUGGGCCAAAUUUGUGGCUUUACCGUGUAGCAGCGAUGGGCCAAAUUUGUGGCUUUACCGUGUAGCAGUGAUGGGCCAAAUUUGUGGCUUUACCGUGUAGCAGUGAUGUGCAAAAUUUGUGGCUUUACCGUGUAGCUGUGAUGGGCCAAAUUUGUGGCUUUACCGUGUAGCAGUGACGGGCCAAAUUUGUGGCUUUACCGUGUAGCAGCGAUGGGCCAAAUUUGUGGCUUUACCGUGUAGCAGUGAUGGGCCAAAUUUGUGGCUUUACCGUGUAGCAGCGACGGGCCAAAUUUGUGGCUUCACCGUGUAGCAGCGACAGGCCAAAUUUGUGGCUUUACCAUGUAGCAGCGACGGGCCAAAUUUGUGGCUUUACCAUGUAGCAGCGACGGGCCAAAUUUGUGGCUUCACCGUGUAGCAGCGACGGGCCAAAUUUGUGGCUUUACCGUGUAGCAGCAAUGGGCCAAAUUUGUGCCAUGAUUUUAACCCCCCAAAAUAGAUGACACAUAAACUAAUCACAAAUACUUUGAUAUAUAUUAUGAAGUAGUUUGUGAGUGAUGAUUUUUUCUCAUUUUUCUCGCUUAGAGGGAUCAUUAAGAAACAUGAUCCCCGCUGCUACCGAGUUAAAUGGAAACCACGAGGAGGAAAAUGUUUCAUCAGGAGGACUGAAAAAGACUACGGUAACCCAAGGAUGGGGCAGCAGAUAAAGGCAGGAGGGCGAGGUGGCCAGCAGACACUGUUAUAGUUACCGGGAACGAGUGGUUCAAAAACUAUUCUCGGUCGGUCCCCGUGGAUUUCUGACCGUCUGACCUUGUCCAUUAGGGUGCAGCCACACUGCAUGCGGUUUGCUGGGAGGGUAGAGGGUAGUGGGACGCCUAGCAGGUCAGAGGCAAAAACAAACACGUUAUCUAAUACGAGUGGCUAUACAGAACGCGGGUAGCGGGUUCCCUCCAAGCUUACUCGCUACCCGCGUCCCGUAUGGCCACUCCUAUUAGAUAACAUGUGUUUGUUCUUGCCUCUGACCUGAAAGGCGUCCUGCUACCCUCUACCUUUCCAGCAAACCGCGUCCAGUGUGGCCGCACCCUAACAUCUGAAACCUGUUAUAGGCGUGUCCGUUAUAUCGAGGGUUUACUGCAAUAGUAAUAACUGAGAUUCAUGUAAGGGCCUCAAUGGAAGACAAAGCCCUGAUGUAGCCCCAGAGUUCCCCAUUGAUGAACAAACAUGGCAAAUACAGGUGAGAGUAGAGGAAGGAGAAUUAUAAAUGGAUAAAAGUGGGACACAGAAAAUACCCAAUGAGUUAACAAGUGGGUGUUGACUUCUGCUUUAAACUUGUCAAUGCCAACAAGAGAAACAACCUCACAUGGAAGUACACCCUAUAAAGUCAUAGAUAUAUUCCUUGUACAGUUAGAAUACAGUGAUGAGUAGCUUGCCCAGGUAUAUGACUUCUGCUUUAAACUUAUCCAGUACAGCCUGUAAAGUCAUAGAUGUAUUCCUUGUACAGUUAGAAUACAGUGUUGAGUAGCUUGCCCAGGUAUAUAAAGAAGUCUAUCCAGUUGGGCAGACACUUUUGGCUGCCGGAUAUAUACAUGUUCUUCAAGCAGUCAUAAUCCCUAAAGUAUACAUGUUAGACACACACAUGAGGUUUAGUUACAUGCACAUACAUUUAACUCAACUAUGAAUGCACCCUGUGUCUGUGUGAGUCAGUGGAGCACCAGAAUUACCACCUGAAAGGAAGGAAUUUUUCUUCUUCGAGAGCCAGAUCGUUGGGUGUCACUGGCUGUCACACUCCCAUUACUCCGUGUCUCUGCCAGGGUGACCGCUGCGCCAUCCUCCCACCCCUCACCCUGCACCCCUCCACACGUUGCUGUUGUUCUAGUGUGGUGUGCGUGUGUGUUAUGUGGUAUAUAUGUAUUUUUUUACAGCAGAGGAAACAGCUCACAGGCAAAAAACAGAAAAAAAAAGAAAGAAAAGGAAACUAAUAAAAAAAGCCCACUACUCGCUGCUCCUUUAAAAGAGUUCAGAGGAGUGGCCGAAAGACAGGUCAAUUUCAGGAGGAAAGGCGUCCUGAUUUAUGUACUGUAUCACAACACGGUGCUGGGCCAGUAGUCUGUGAUGGACAUGUACUGCAAGUUAGGAAGCAACCAAAAAAACAUCUCACUAAAAUUGGUGGCCAGGGUAUUUUUCAUUAAUUUUCAUUUGUCAACCUACAUCACUUCAAAAUGGCGUGUUUAUUUGAUGCCAGCAAGUACUAUGGUGGUCCUGAAAAAUUGACAAUCUCCAUUCAUGGCAGCAGAGGCAUUGAAGUCCUUCAUCCAUUUAUAGGACUGGCUCAAGUCUCCUCACACCCAUCACUUUUCUGGAGAAUGUAAAGUUAUAUGAAGUCCACCCUUAUACAGCAAGUUUCCCAAUCAGUGAAUCAUUUUUGUCAUUGGGCGUAUCUUAUUAUCUCCAGCAAUUUUUUCCCCUCCCAGUUGCUGUCCAUAUACAAGGGCCUUGUUUGACAUCAUAUUAUGGAGUAUGCAUCUCACAUGUGGGGCCGGGGGCUCCACACACCUCUCCUUUUUGGACAAAGUAGAGCCUAAGGCUCUUUGUUUCAUCAACUCCUCUCCUCUUACUGACAGUCUCCUACCUUUACAUUCCAUUGCCAUGUUGCCUCUCUUUCUACCUUCUACUGAUAUUUUUAUGCUGACUGCUCCUCAGAACUUGCUCACUGCAAGCCUAACCUCCCCCCUCCCAAAGCCCCACUACACAUGACUUUCUACUCUAAAGGCCCGUCCACACAAUCGAGCAGUCCCCUCAAGCACAGGUGAGCGGUCUGCCCGUUGACGGGCUUACCGCUUGUGCCAGCUGAAAAACUCGCUUGUGCCCGCUGAAAACCUAGUAGAUUUUCAGUGGGCACAAGUGGUAAGCCUGUCAACGGGCAGACCGCUCGCCUGUGCUCGAGGGCACUGCUCGAUAGUGUGGACGGACCUUAACUCAUCACUACUGUGUCCCAUAUGAAAGAGUUAAUCAGCAUGUUCACUCUUUCAUCCCUUUCACUGAUACACUCUGCAACAGUUUUUCUUUGUCUAUAUUUCCACCUUCCUACAACUUGAACUCCUUCAAGAUGGAAGCAUCACAGCACUUAUCAAAUUGUUUCUGAAUAAUCAUUUGGAAAUCUCAAUCAAUUCUUCUUUGGUGAGCAUUAGUUUUGUGGAUCUUAUUUCCCCAUUGUCUGCCCUUGACUGGUUCCUCUGAUGUAAAAAAAACAACCCUUUGCAUAGAUCCUAACCUCUUGAUGUCCAUUGUAUAGCAAGGAGACCAGGACUGAACCACAUACC